GAUUAUGGCUCAGGAUGAACGCUAGCGGCAGGCUUAACACAUGCAAGUCGAGGGGCAGCGCUGAGUAGCAAUACUCUGGCGGCGACCGGCGAAAGGGUGAGUAACGCGUGAGCAACAUGCCCGGUAGUGGAGGAUAGUCGAUGGAAACGUCGUGUAAUACUCCGUAACAUACGGGACCGCAUGAUUCUGUAUUAAUAGAUUUAUUGCUAUCGGAUUGGCUCGCGUACCAUUAGCUAGUUGGCGGGUAACGGCCCACCAAGGCGACGAUGGUUAGGGGUUCUGAGAGGAAGGUCCCCCACAUUGGAACUGAGACACGGUCCAGACUCCUACGGGAGGCAGCAGUGAGGAAUAUUGGACAAUGGCCGGAAGGCUGAUCCAGCCAUGCCGCGUGCCGGGGAAGACGGCCCUAUGGGUUGUAAACCGCUUUUGUUGGGGAGCAAUAAGGGUCACGUGUGGCCUGAUGAGAGUACCCAGCGAAUAAGCAUCGGCUAACUCCGUGCCAGCCGCGGC
rnacentral:rRNA from 1 species